GAAGGUUCAUAUUUGUUCAGAAGUUUUGGACAUUGGAAAUUGCAUAGACUCAAGAGCCUUACUCCUUCUCCUAAUAGCACACUAUUUUUGUAUUAUGCCCUUUUUCCUGCACUUCAAAGUUCAAACGAACCUAAAUCUGCUCAGUGCAUGACAGAAAAAACAUGUCCACAAAUUAUAACAUAAAAAUCAUGUUUUGUCAAAAACAUAAAAAUCAUGUUGACUAAACUUUCAGUUAUAUUUAAAUGGUUAUAUUUACCCUCUUAGAUACAAUCUAUUCGAGUAAUUGUGACUGAAGAACAAUACAACAAGCACAUAGAAAAUUAAAAUGAAUCAAUUGUGUUUCAACAUUUUUAUAUCAGAUAAAUCUGUUCUAUAAACACCAUAUUAUUAGUUGAGCAAUAAAAUUUGGAGCAAACAAAAUAAAGUAAUCAAUUUUACCAUGUAAAUUCUUGGCUAAUGUUCAGCAAAAUCUCAGAGUCAUGGACAAUCAGAUUAAGAUGAAGUGACUUAUUUUUUAUAACAAUUGCUGAAGCACCAAUAUAUCAAGUAUAAUAAUCA
rnacentral:lncRNA from 1 species